rnacentral:rRNA from 1 species
AUCGAACGCUGGCGGCAUGCCUAACACAUGCAAGUCGAGCGAGCGGCGGACGGGUGAGUAAUGUCUGGUAAACUGCCUGAUGGAGGGGGAUAACUACUGGAAACGGUAGCUAAUACCGCAUUCCAUCAGAUUUGCCCAGUGGGGAUUAGCUAGUAGGUGGGGUAACGGCUCACCUAGGCGACGAUCCCUAGCGGGUCUGAGAGGUUGACCAGCCACACUGGAACUGAGACACGGUCCAGACUCCUACGGGAGGCAGCAGUGGGGAAUAUUGGGCAAUGGGCGAAAGCCUGAUAGAGCAAUGCCGCGUGUGUGAAGAAGGCUGUCGGAUUGUAAAGCACUUUGGGCAGAGAAGCGGUACCCAAAGAGAAAGCAACGGCUAACUCCGUGCCAGCAGCCGCGGUAAUUC